CCUGAGAUGGGCCUUAGCCCAGUGGUAGGGCAUCCAUUUCACAUGCAGAAGGUCACAGGUUCAAUUCUUGGCUUCUCUGGA